CUCCGAGAACUUGAGGUUUGCGGUGUGGUGUGGCGCGAUGCAGCCUGCUCUUGAGAUACCAGCUACGUCAGCGCUGACAGCACCAAAUAGUUAUGUUUAAAUGGAGCAGCGACGAACGUAUUGGCACGGAUCUUCAGAUUAAGAGGUGAUCUGAGAAGCCUAUGGUGAUUUAAAUUAUCUGCAGGAUUUUCAAGAGCGAUUAAUAAGGCCUAUAAUCACCUGACGAUAUCAACGAUGUGACCGAGAUCCUUACCACAACCUACGCGAUUUCCUGCACCAGGUCCCGAGGAGAGGUGCAUCGGUUGCAGAGAGUUUGAAGCGUACCGACCUCAUCCUCCACCUUCGCCGAAGAGGAAGACUGGUGCCUCCUGGCUCUUUCUGCCCACACCAGAGGUGCCAUGCAGGGAUAGCAGGCACUGAGCAGGGCACCAAGGUCACAGGGAGGAGUGAGGGGCAGUGAGAGUGGGCACUGCAGCGGC